GCAGGGGUUCCCGAGUGGUCAAAGGGGGCGGACUCAAGAUCCGCUGCUGAGCGCUUCGCAGGUUCGAAUCCUGCCCCCUGCACCA
rnacentral:tRNA from 1 species